CUGCACACACAUGCAUAAAUUCAUAUAUGAUGUGCGUGUAUUUGUGAAGAUUCUUUUGUUAUGCGUUUUUAUUUUUUUGGGACUGUUGUUGUUGCCUGUAUGAUUUUGUUCACGAGUGUGUCUGUAUCUCCUGUGUGCAUGUGUGUGUGAGUGUUGUACAAAGUCAAAGUGAUUAAAAUUUAUGCGCAAUUUAUUUUGCAUUCAACAACAGCUAAAAACUGAGCUAAAAACACAGCAACAGCAUUAUGGUUUAGCGUUAAUUGAACGGCCUGUCAGCAUUAUUCAUAAGUAUGCUCAUUCGCAUGUGUUCCGGAUCAAUCAUCAAAUACGCGACGGCAACGGCCACCACGCCACCCAGUGAUUGACUUCUUGGCAACUGUACGAAUGUCGCAUGACAACAACGACUGCCCCUGCUGCCCGCCAUGUCCGUGAUGCGGAUACGGGUGCGGGUGCUGCAAAUUGACUCAGAAGUUAAUAUUUCUGUUUUAUUUUUAUGCGGUGUUUUUUUUUGUGAGAGGGAGUUGGGGAACUGCAACAUGCGGUUAAAUGUUGACACCCAGCAGACGCCACAGUCAACCGCAAAACACGCGGCAGCGGGUCCUGCAAGACAAAAAAACCACAAAAACACGUAAUGAGUGGGCAAACCAUUAGGGUGGAUAUUUCCUGGUUGGGUUUUAAAAAUAAAAAAUUAUUUUGCAGAAUUUA